rnacentral:rRNA from 1 species
UACGUAGGGUGCAAGCGUUGUCCGGAAUUAUUGGGCGUAAAGAGCUCGUAGGCGGUUUGUUGCGUCGGCUGUGAAAUCCCGAGGCUCAACCUCGGGUCUGCAGUCGAUACGAGCAAACUAGAGUGUUGCAGGGGAGACUGGAAUUCCUGGUGUAGCGGUGAAAUGCGCAGAUAUCAGGAGGAACACCGGUGGCGAAGGCGGGUCUCUGGGCAGCAACUGACGCUGAGGCACGAAAGCGUGGGGAGCAAACAGG